rnacentral:rRNA from 1 species
AUUGAACGCUGGCGGCAUGCUUUACACAUGCAAGUCGGACGGCAGCGGGGUAGUGCUUGCACUACUGCCGGCGAGUGGCGAACGGGUGAGUAAUAUAUUGGAAUGUACUGAGUAAUGGGGGAUAACCAAUCGAAAGAGUGGCUAAUACCGCAUACGCUCUGAGGAGGAAAGCAGGGGAGCUUCGGGCCUUGCGGCUUUCGAGUGGACAUGAUCGGAUUAGCUAGUUGGUGGGGUAAGGGCUUACCAAGGCGACGAGCAGUAGCGGGUCUGAGAGGAUGAUCGGCCACACUGGAACUGAGACACGGCCCAGACUCCUACGGGAGGCAGCAGUGGGGAAUUUUGCACAAUGGGCGCAAGCCUGAUGCAGCCAUGCCGCGUGUCUGAAGAAGGCCUUCGGGUUGUAAAGGUCUUUUGUUAGGGAAGAAAAAGGAGCGGUUAAUACCCGCUUCUGCUGACGGUACCUAAAGAAUAAGCACCGGCUAACUACGUG